AGAGUGAACGCUGGCGGCGUGCUUAACACAUGCAAGUCGAGCGAAUUUUAGCAGCGUAUCGCUAAAGUUAGCGGCAGACGGGUGAGUAAUAUUUGGGCAAUCUGCCCUUAAGAGGAAAACAACCUGCCGAAAGGCGGGCUAAUGUUCCAUAAGACCACGGGAUGGCAUCAUCCAGAGGUAAAAGCUCCGCAAGGGGCGCUUGAGGAGGAGCCCGAAUCCUAUCAGCUAGUUGGUGAGGUAACGGCUCACCAAGGCUUUGACGGGUAGCCGGCCUGAAAGGGUGACCGGCCACACUGGCACUGAGACACGGGCCAGACUCCUACGGGAGGCAGCAGUGGGGAAUUUUGGACAAUGGGGGCAACCCUGAUCCAGCGACGCCGCGUGAAGGACGAAGGUCUUCGGAUUGUAAACUUCUUUUAAAGGGGAUGAACCGACCGUUGAAUAACGGUCUUGACAGUACUCUUUGAAUAAGCCACGGCUAACUACGUGCCAGCAGCCGCGGUAA
rnacentral:rRNA from 1 species